CAUCAGUUCACUGACCACAGAACCAACCACAUCCUCAACAUCUAAAAGCCCAUCAUCUUCAACGUCUGCUUCUGCUUCCUCUGUGACGACUGCUGUGUCUGUUCUGAUUCUGGUGCUGCUUCUGAUUGGACUCGUAUUUCUCAUACUCUGUUUACAAAAGAGAGGCCAGAUUCAAGAUGCUGAUGUUUCCACAGUCAUCUACACUACUUCUCAAUUACCUACAAGCCUCUCUGAACCUUCUCAAACUGUUUAUGAUGACGGCCAGGUACCCU